GACGAACGCUGGCGGCGUGCUUAACACAUGCAAGUCGAACGGAAAGGCCCUGCUUUUGUGGGGUUCUCGAUUGCCGAACGGGUGAGUAACACGUGAGUAACCUGCCCUUGUCUUUGGGAUAACUUCAGGAAACUGGGGCUAAUACCGCAUAUGAGCUCCUGCUGCAUGUUGGGCGUUGGAAAGUUUCGGCGGUUGGGGAUGGACUCGCGGCUUAUCAGCUUGUUGGUGGGGUAGUGGCUUACCAAGGCUUUGACGGGUAGCCGGCCUGAGAGGGUGACCGGCGACAAUGGGACUGAGAUACGGCCCAGACUCCUACGGGAGGCAGCAGUGGGGAAUAUUGCACAAUGGGGGGAAGCCUGAUGCAGCAACGCCGCGUGCGGGAUGACGGCCUUCGGGGUGUAAACCGCUUUCGCCUGUGACGAAGAGGGAGUGACGGUAAUGGGUAAAGAAGCAACGGCUAACUACGUG
rnacentral:rRNA from 1 species